rnacentral:misc_RNA from 1 species
ACUAGGAGUAUUGACACAUUCAGGAAGCAGCAGUACAGCACAAUCUUCAAGUUGGGAGUCGACGUUGGUCGGAGCUGAGCAAGGUGUCAGAUAUUGGUCGAGCCGCUAUCUGGGGUCACACAGCACGGACACGUUGCAUCCUGGAGUCGAACCCGAGCCUUCAACGUGGCCACAAGUCCACAACACUAAGCUGUAGGACUACCUAUAUAGUGACGUUUCUGCCGCAGAUUCACCAACGAUAUUACAAGCAAGGAAGAGCAGCGCGAUGCACAAACCUGUCCUGCCCAUGCCUUCCAAAUCAAGUAAAUACGCCGAGCUGGAUCUAAAAUAGGAGUUGGAUUGCCAACACGUCAUGCUCAGGGGCCGGACAUCAACAGUGUCCGUGUGGUGAGAUAUGAAUUACACACUCCAGCAGAACAAAGAUGUCUGGUCACCGUUUAUACGGAUAUGAACCCAGUGACGUAUUUCUCUAUAAUGAAUAAUUUUUGUUACUAAAAGCACCAAAUAACUGUACUGAUCCCACAACCUGCGCGUAUGCAUAUGGUUAUCGGGCUGUGACGUCACAGUGCCGUUUCCCGUUGCUGACACUUCAUUCAUCUACAUAACAAUGGAGUCAUAUUACCGUUUUCUCGAUGUGUAGCAUACUUUAGACGGGAUGAUGUGUCCAUCCAAACAAAGGUUAACAGUGUCAUUUCUUCAAAAUUCCAAGCGUAUGGACUGAUUUAGCGGUGAGGGCAUUUCGGAUACAGCAUAAAUGGUAUACAUAUAAAAUGAUAAAUAUUCAACCACAUUACAUACACCCUUUCAAAAGUAAAGUCAGCAGAAAUCAUAUGAAUGAAGAUGUGUUAGACAUCGAUAAAACAACGUAGUGUCAAGUGCACAUAAUCAGCUUCAAUUUACAUUUCAAUAAUAAUUGUGCAUUAUAUUAUCCAGCAACUCCGUCUAUGUACAUUCACAUCGUAUAAAUGUUACAAAUUGUAAAUAACAAUG